AAUUAAUGGGAUAUAGCAUUCAAUUAAUGCGAUAUAACAUGAAUUAACUUCUGUACCUCUGAUUUUCCACAAUACUAAGUAAAGGAUCCCUCCAAAUUCUCAAUUGCAAAGUCUGAGGAUAAAACAAAUGAUAUAACCACACACAUAUUUCAGCUUGCUACCUUUAUUGCACCAAUAUCAUCAAUCUUUGAGCUCUUGUGCUUGCUUCUCUUGUGUUUGUGA
rnacentral:misc_RNA from 1 species